rnacentral:tRNA from 1 species
GUGCACUUAGCUCAGUGGUUAGAGCAUCCUUCUAGAGGGGGGAAAAAAUUCAUGGGUUUGAGUCCCAUAGUGCACA